rnacentral:lncRNA from 1 species
UCUAUAACCAGCAUGGUACAUUAUGAGGAACAUUGGAUUUGAAAGAAGGAAGGAAGGAAGGAAGGAAGGAAGGAAGGAAGGAAGGAAGGAAGGAAGGAAGGAAGGAAGGAAGGAAGGAAGGAAGGAAGGAAGGAAGGAAGGAAGAAAGGAAGGAAGGAAGGAAGGAAGGAAGGAAGGAAAGAAGGAAGGAUGGAAGGAAGGAAGGAAGGAAGGAAGGAAGGAAGGAAGGAAGGAAGGAAGGAAGGAAGGAGGAAGGAAGGAGGAAGGAAGGAGGAAGGAAGGAAGGAAGGAGGAAGGAAGGACGGAAGGAGGAAGGAAGAAGGAAGGAAGGAGGAAGGAAGGAGGAAGAAGGAAGGAAGGAAGGAAGGAAGGAAGGAAGGAAGGAGGAAGGAAGGAAGGAAGGAAGGAAGGAAGGAAGGAAGGAAGGAAGGAAGGAAGGAAGGGAAGGAAGAUUACCAAUAUUCCAUAUAUAUUACCAAUGGGUAAUAUACAUGCCCAAAUGAAAUUUACCUCUGGAUAGAACAUGGCAUAUUUAAAAAUAACUAAUACAAAACCAAAUAUGCUAAGUGUAUAAGAGAGAUAUCAAUGAAGUGAUAGGCAAAGUCUUAAGAAAGGAAAAAUCAUUUCCAACCGAGUCAAGGAAGGCUUCACAGAGGAGGCAGUAUAUGAGUCAGUCUUGAAGAGUAGAUUUGGGAGUAUUAGCAAGACUUUGGACAUGGAAACAAGCCAAGGCAAGGACUUCUUUCUUUCUGCUUAUAUUUGUAUACUCAGACUAUUAUAGCACAAUGACUGCUUACUAAAUACUUGUUGACUAGACUUCAAGCUUACCCCAAGCAUUUUCUUCUCCAGCAUAAGCAUCCCAGUUUCUUCUAGGAAUCCUUAUUUAGAAGAGUUUCUAGUCCCUUUUCUCUCCUAGUAAGCUUUCUCAAGAUUCAUUGAAGUUUGUCAAUAUACUUUUUAAUAUAUGUUGCUUAGAAAUAUUAUCAGGCAUGUUCUGACC